rnacentral:rRNA from 1 species
CAGUCGCCGCGGGAAUACAGAGGGUGCAAGCGUUAAUCGGAUUUACUGGGCGUAAAGGGCGCGUAGGUGGUUAUGUAAGUGAGAUGUGAAAUCCCCGGGCUCAACCUGGGAACUGCAUCUUAUACUGCGUAGCUGGAGUGCAGUAGAGGGUAGUGGAAUUUCCGGUGUAGCGGUGAAAUGCGUAGAUAUGUGGAGGAACACCAGUGGCGAAGGCGACUCUCUGGUCUGUAACUGACGCUGAGGAGCGAAAGCGUGGGGAGCGAACAGGAUUAGAUACCCCAGUAGUCCCUGUCUCUUAUAC